rnacentral:rRNA from 1 species
AUGGACGUUGGAGCCGUCCCAGUCUCCGCCAUACUGCAUGAUGGCGAGAAGCUGGCGAGAAAGGGUGCGGCGGCGGAGAAAGAACGGCCCCGCGGCGGCGAAGCUGUGGGGUGGUGCGAAGAUUGGUGGGACGGCGCGGCGGCAAGAUGCUGCUGCGAUGGAAAGGAGGAGGAAGAAGAUGGCGGAGAGAGGAUGAGCGUGCGAGCGUCUGCCGCUUCCCCUCCUCCCCCUACUUAUAGCCUCGUGUGGCGAAGCCUAGGAGGCGAGGCGUGGGGGGACGUGGGAUUAACUGCGCCCACUCCCCCACGUCCCGCGAUUAUUGCGCCCUAA